UAAAGGGUAACACCGGCUACGGAUGGCCAUGCGGCGCAUUAGCUAGUUGGCGGGGUAACGGCCCACCAAGGCGACGAUGCGUAGGGGUUCUGAGAGGAAGGUCCCCCACACUGGUACUGAGACACGGACCAGACUCCUACGGGAGGCAGCAGUGAGGAAUAUUGGUCAAUGGGCGCGAGCCUGAACCAGCCAAGUCGCGUGAGGGAAGACGGUCCUAUGGAUUGUAAACCUCUUUUGUCGGGGAGCAAAAGACGCCACGCGUGGCGUUCCGAGAGUACCCGAAGAAAAAGCAUCGGCUAACUCCGUGCCAGCAGCCGCGGUAAUACGGAGGAUGCGAGCGUUAUCCGGAUUUAUUGGGUUUAAAGGGUGCGCAGGCGGAAGAUCAAGUCAGCGGUAAAAUUGAGAGGCUCAACCUCUUCGAGCCGUUGAAACUGGUUUUCUUGAGUGAGCGAGAAGUAUGCGGAAUGCGUGGUGUAGCGGUGAAAUGCAUAGAUAUCACGCAGAACUCCGAUUGCGAAGGCAGCAUACCGGCGCUCAACUGACGCUCAUGCACGAAAGUGUGGGUAUCGAACAGGAUUAGAUACCCUGGUAGUCCACACAGUAAACGAUGAAUACUAAUUGUUCGGGGAGAAUGAUCCCUGA
rnacentral:rRNA from 1 species